GACGAACGCUGCGGCGUGCUUAACACAUGCAAGUCGACGGAAUCCAUGUAGUAGCAAUACUCCGGAAGAUUUAGUGGCGAACGGGUGAGGAACACGUGAGAAACUUGCCCCGGACUUUGGGAUAACAGUUGGAAACGACUGCUAAUACCAAAUACCUUCGGAGGUCCGCAUGGAUCAUCGAAGAAAGAAUUUCGGUCCGGGAGAGUCUCGCGGCCUAUCAGCUAGUUGGUGGGGUAAUGGCCUACCAAGGCAUCGACGGGUAGCUGGUCUGAGAGGAUGAUCAGCCACACUGGGACUGAGACACGGCCCAGACUCCUACGGGAGGCAGCAGUGGGGAAUCUUGUGCAAUGGGCGCAAGCCUGACACAGCAACGCCGCGUGCGGGAAGAAGGCCUUCGGGUCGUAAACCGCUUUCAGCAGGAACGAAAAUGACGGUACCUGCAGA
rnacentral:rRNA from 1 species